rnacentral:rRNA from 1 species
UUCCGGGGGUUGAUCCUGCCGGACCCGACUGCUAUUGGGGUUAGGCUAAGCCAUGCGAGUCAGCGCUUCUAGCCAUGAUGGAGCGCGGCAUACGGCUCAGUAACAUGUGGUUAACCUACCCUCAGGAGGGGGACACCCUCGGGAAACUGAGGCUGAACCCACAUAGAUGAUGGAUCCUGGAAUGGUUCUUCAUCCAAACGGUAUGCGGCUCAUGCGUCGCGUGCCGCCUGAGGAUGGGACCGCACCCUAUCAGGUAGUUGGUGGGGUAAUGGCCCACCAAGCCUAUAACGGGUACGGGCCCUGAGAGGGGGAGCCCGGAGAUGGGCACUGAGACAAGGGCCCAGGCCCUACGGGGCGCAGCAGGCGCGAAACCUCUGCAAUGCGCGAAAGCGCGACAGGGCAACCCCGAGUGCUAGGUGCUGAAUCUAGCUUUUCCUUAGUGUAGUGAGCUAGGGGAAUAAGCGGGGGGCAAGCCUGGUGUCAGCCGCCGCGGUAAUACCAGCUCCGCGAGUGGUCGGGACGAUUAUUGGGCCUAAAGCGUUCGUAGCCGGCCUAUCAAGUCUCUGGUUAAAUCUCAAGGCUUAACCUUGAGCGUGCUGGAGAUACUGUUAGGCUAGGGGGCGGGAGAGGUUGAGGGUACUUCACGGGUAGGGGCGAAAUCCUAUAAUCCGUGAAGGACCACCAGUGGCGAAGGCGCUCAACUGGAACGCGCCCGACGGUGAGGGACGAAAGCCAGGGGAGCAAAGGGGAUUAGAUACCCCCGUAGUCCUGGCUGUAAACGAUGCGGGCUAGGUGUUGGGUUGGCUUCGUGCCAACCCGGUGCCGCAGCGAAGGCGAUAAGCCCGCCGCCUGGGAAGUACGGCUGCAAGGCUGAAACUUAAAGGAAUUGGCGGGGGAGCACCACAAGGGGUGAAGCCUGCGGUUUAAUUGGAUUCAACGCCGGG